rnacentral:rRNA from 1 species
GAUGAACGCUAGCGGCAGGCCUAAUACAUGCAAGUCGUACGGCAGCACAGUUGCGAGCAAUCGCAACCGGUGGCGAGUGGCGCACGGGUGAGUAACGCGUAUGUAACCUACCCUUCUCCAGGACAUAACUCCGCGAAAGCGGUGCUAAUAUCCCAUAUCAACACUUGAAGACAUCUUCUUGUGUUGAAAGUAGCAAUGCGGUGAAGGAUGGGCAUGCGUCCCAUUAGCUGGUUGGUGAGGUAAUGGCCCACCAAGGCUACGAUGGGUAGGGUUCUGAGAGGAAAGUCCCCCACACUGGUACUGAGACACGGACCAGACUCCUACGGGAGGCAGCAGUAAGGAAUAUUGGUAAUGCGCGAAAGCGUGAACCAGCAACGCCGCGUGUGCGAUGAAGGCCUUGGGUUGUAAAGCACUUUUCGGGAGGUAAGAGGAAGGACUGUACUCCCAGAAUAAGCCUCGGCUAACGUACGUCGCCAGCAGCCGCGGUAA